CGGAAACGGAAAGUAAAUAUUUCUGUAUUUUGAUGAAAAGAGGCGGUGAUGACAUGGGAAAGAAUCGAUCUUUGAAUGGAAAGAAUUUAAAUAUGAAUUUUAUAAUUGUGUAUCAACCUUAGGUGCUCUGUAGUUGUACACAAGAGAUGUAUUCAGUAGUUAUACAUGAAAUUAUUUGGCUGAAAAUUAAUCUUGAAACAAUUGUAUGCUUUCUCUGCAGUUGUUCUAAAAGCACAUUUUACAAAUUACUUAAAAAUUAAUUUUUGUCUUUAUCAUGGCUAUUAAAGCCUUUGAUUUAGUCCCCGCUAUUGAAAGGGUUUGUUGGACAGAUAAAGUGAAAACUGUGGUAGAAUGUUUAGAAAGUUGUGGGAAGAAUUUAUACAUUGGAACGCAAGAAUGCUUUGUAAUUCAUUAUGUACUGGAAGAAAAGCAGUUUAAUGAGGGAACAAUUUUAUUUGAUUCAACUAAAAAGAAUCAAAAGUACCUAGAAGUGAAAAAACCCAUAACACUUUUGAAAGCAUUAUCUGCUUUGAAUCGAAUUCUACUGCUCUGUGAUGGAAAUUUAAUAGUAUUAAAUAUGUUUGAUCUUGAGAUUGUACCAUCACUUAGUAAAUUCAAAGGAGUUUCGUAUUUUUGUUUAAAUGAAAAUCCAGAAGCCAGUAACCCAUUCAGUGUUGAGGUAUGUGUUGCUAAAAAAAAGCAGCUACUUAUUUGUCACGUGACUGAUGAUAAAAUGAUUCAAUUGAGAGAUAUUAGUAUUCCUGAACCGCCUCUUGCUAUGGCAAUGGAUGGUCAAUAUGUUUGUUUAGCUUUAUCAUCUAAGUACGUUGUUGUGGACACAGAGAGUGGUUAUGCUCAAGAGCUUUUUCCAUAUGAUAGCAAUACAACUUCUCCUCUAGUCAAAAGAAUUACCAAAGAAGAAUUCCUACUUGGUGGUCCUAGUGCCUUAGGUAUGUUUGUAACAACUGCAGGCAUAUCAGAAAGGCCUCCCUUACAAUGGGGUGAAAAUGUCAUUUCAGUUGCCUACUCUCAUCCAUACAUUGUAGUUCUGAGCUCAGAUAAUUUAACAGUUUACAGUAUUUUAGAUCAGCAGCAGAAACAAAGAGUAACAUUCCACGGAGGCAGCUGUUUAGAUAAUUUUGAUGGUCGAAUGUUUGUUGCAUCAUCAGAUAUUAUAUGUGCCCUUCUUCCAGUUCCAUGGGAAAAGCAGGUCCAUGCACUUUUAGCUGAUAAAAAAGUUUCUGAAGCUCUUGAGUUGGCAAAAUAUUCUAAUAAAGCUGGGCUGUCAAAAGAACAGUAUCGAAUUGUUUUGCAGCGAAUUCAACAGCAAGCUGGAUUUAUUGAAUUUUCCUUAUUGCACUUUGAUGAGGCAAAAGAGUUAUUUCAGGAGAGUCAACUAGAUGUGCGAGAGCUUAUCAGUCUAUUUCCUGACUUAAUGCCUGGAAGUUCUUCCUUCAUUCGCAUAAAUCCUCCGCUGCAUGAUAUUGGGAACGUUCUUGAAAUGUGUUCAUUUGAUGAAGAGUCCGUUGCAUCAUCCAGGAAGUUUUUGCUUCAUUAUUUAGAAUCUAUCAGAAACUCUAGUGAUGCUGUUGGCUGUAAAAUGGAAAUGGACACAUCACUAUUAAAGCUAUAUGCUGAGUAUGAUUAUCCCUCUCUGUUAUCAUUUUUGGCUGGUGCUGAUGUUGGUUGUCAGCCAAAGGAAGGAGUUGAAGUAUUGCAGAAAUAUGAAAGAUAUCAUGCAUUAGCAUUGUUCCAUUUAAAACUUGGGGAUAAUGACUUAGCCCUAAACGUUUGGGCAAAAAUAAUAUCUGGUGACUAUUCAGAUUCCUUAUAUCCAGGAAUGCCUCAUUUUAUUGAUUUUCUAUGCAAGCUUAGUGAUCACUUACUUUUGUGGAAGUAUGUUGAUUUUAUUUUAGAAAGAGAACAAGAACUAGGUGUUAAAAUUUUUACUGACCGUCCGUCAUCAGAACCUUCGUCUGAAAGGUUACGUCCUGAUUUUAUUGUUGAGUAUCUUCAUCGAUAUCCUCAAGCUUUAUUGAAAUAUUUAGAACAUUUAGUAUUAGAAAAAAAGUUAGAAAAAGAAAAGUUCCAUACACAUUUAGCGGUCAUGUAUAUGGAUUCAGUUCUUCAAAUUCUUAAACUGCCCGAAACAGAACAAACUAGCUUAAGUGAUGCCAGAAAAAAACUUCAAGACCACCUUCACACAUCCUCAAUUUACCGAGUGCAGCUAUUGCUGGGAAAGGCAUUAGAAAACCAGCUUCAUAAAGAGUGUGCUAUUCUUUAUGGAAAGCUUGAAGAACACGAGAAAGCUAUUAAAAUUUUAGUGCACCAGUUGCAAGACCAUGAAGCAGCUGAAGAUUAUUGUAUACGAAUGUCUGCGGGAAAAGACAAAAAAUACAGACAUAGGCUAUUUUAUGUAUUGUUAAGUGUAUACCUGGACAGCACAGCAAAGUAGCGAGAAGCAACAAGAAGACAUGCUGCCUGCUGCCAUACAAUUAUUAAAUAGUGAUUUAGCAGAGUUUGAUUUUACAAAGGUAAUGCAGUUGAUUCCUCCUAACUGGUCAGUAGCAAUUUUGGACCAAUUUUUAAUCAGAGCCUUGCGAUCCAGUUUACAUUAUCGAUAUUGUUGCAGACUACAAAGUGCUCUUUCAAGGGGUGAAAAUUUGCAAGUGAAGUUUU
rnacentral:misc_RNA from 1 species